rnacentral:rRNA from 1 species
GACGAACGCUGGCGGCGUGCUUAACACAUGCAAGUCGAACGGUAAGGCCCUUCGGGGUACACGAGUGGCGAACGGGUGAGUAACACGUGGGUGAUCUGCCCUGCACUUCGGGAUAAGCCUGGGAAACUGGGUCUAAUACCGGAUAGGACCACUGCCUGCAUGGGUGGUGGUGGAAAGCUUUUGCGGUAUGGGAUGGGCCCGCGGCCUAUAAGCUUGUUGGUGGGGUGAGGGCCUACCAAGGCGACGACGGGUAGGCGGCCUGAGAAGGUGACCGGCCACACUGGGACUGAGAUACGGCCCAGACUCCUACGGGAGGCAGCAGUGGGGAAUAUUGCACAAUGGGCGCAAGCCUGAUGCAGCGACGCCGCGUGAGGGAUGACGGCCUUCGGGUUGUAAACCUCUUUCAGCACCGACGAAGCGCAAGUGAUGGUAGGUGCAGAAGAAGGACCGGCCAACUACGUGCCAGCCGCCGCCGUAAAAC